GAUGAACGCUAGCGGCAGGCUUAAUACAUGCAAGUCGAGGGGCAGCGCGGACUUCGGUCUGGCGGCGACCGGCAAACGGGUGCGGAACACGUACACAACCUUCCUUUUAGUGGGGGAUAGCCCAGAGAAAUUUGGAUUAAUACCCCCGUAACAUGUUGGUGAGGCAUCUCACUGAUAUUAUAGUGGCAACACGCUAGAAGACGGGUGUGCGUAUGAUUAGGUAGUUGGCGGGGUAACGGCCCACCAAGCCUUCGAUCAUUAACUGGUGUGAGAGCACGACCAGUCACACGGGCACUGAGACACGGGCCCGACUCCUACGGGAGGCAGCAGUAAGGAAUAUUGGUCAAUGGAGGAAACUCUGAACCAGCCAUGCCGCGUGGAGGAUGAAGGUCCUCUGGAUUGUAAAGCUUCUUUUAUAUGGGACGAAAAAAUGGCUUUUCCUAAGUCGACUGACGGUACCAUAUGAAUAAGCACCGGCUAACUCCGUGCCGGCAGCCGCGGUAAUACGGAGGGUGCAAGCGUUAUCCGGAUUCACUGGGUUUCAAAGGGUAGCGUAGGUGGGUUGGUAAGUCAGAGGUGAAAUCUCCGAGCUUAACUCGGAAACUGCCUUUGAUACUAUCAGUCUUGAAUAUUGUGGAGGUUAGCGGAAUAUGUCAUGUAGCGGUGAAAUGCUUAGAUAUGACAUAGAACACCAAUUGCGAAGGCAGCUGGCUACACAUAUAUUGACACUGAGGCUCGAAAGCGU
rnacentral:rRNA from 1 species